rnacentral:lncRNA from 1 species
CCCACCAAAACUAAAAAAGAAAAGUGAAUACACAUUAAAACAUGAUUUAGAAAUGUUAAGCUUCCCAACAUUCAUGUAUACUUGCAUUUUAUAUGCAUAAAACCGGCUAACCAUAAAAUGACACACGAGUUGCAUCCAAAAACCCAAAAUUCUCAAUUCCAAAUAAAGUAACGUUUAUGUCCUAUAAUGUAUGACAUAAGAGUCAUAUCUAAAAACCUAAAUCUUGUUGCCUCUUUCUCCUUUCUUUUUAUUCUUCAUAUUGUCCUCCCAAGA